AUUGAACGCUGGCGGCAUGCCUAACACAUGCAAGUCGAACGCGAAAAGGGGCAACUCCUGAGUAGAGUGGCGGACGGUGAGUAAUACGUAGGAAUCUGCCCUUAAGUGGGGAUAACCCGGGGAAACUCGGGCUAAUACCGCAUAAUCUCUUCGGAGAAAAGCAGGGGACCGCAAGGCCCUGCGCUUUAGGAUGAGCCUACGUCGGAUUAGCUAGUUGGUAGGGUAAAGGCCUACCAAGGCGACAAUUCCCGUAGCUGGUCUGAGAGGACGAUCAGCCACACUGGGACUGAGAUACGGCCCAGACUCCUACGGGUGGCAG
rnacentral:rRNA from 1 species